CCUGAGUACGACGGAGCACGUGAAAUUCCGUCGGAAUCUGGGAGGACCAUCUCCUAAGGCUAAAUACUCUCUAGUGACCGAUAGUGAACCAGUACCGUGAGGGAAAGGUGAAAAGUACCCCGGAAGGGGAGUGAAAGAGAACUUGAAACCGUGUGCUUACAAGUAGUCAGAGCCCGUUAAUGGGUGAUGGCGUGCCUUUUGUAGAAUGAACCGGCGAGUUACGAUCUGAUGCAAGGUUAAGCAGAAAAUGUGGAGCCGUAGCGAAAGCGAGUCUGAAUAGGGCGAAUGAGUAUUUGGUCGUAGACCCGAAACCAGGUGAUCUACCCUUGGUCAGGUUGAAGUUCAGGUAACACUGAAUGGAGGACCGAACCGACUUACGUUGAAAAGUGAGCGGAUGAACUGAGGGUAGCGGAGAAAUUCCAAUCGAACUUGGAGAUAGCUGGUUCUCUCCGAAAUAGCUUUAGGGCUAGCCUCAAGUGAUGAUUAUUGGAGGUAGAGCACUGUUUGGACGAGGGGCCCCUCUCGGGUUACCGAAUUCAGACAAACUCCGAAUGCCAAAUAAUUUAACUUGGGAGUCAGAAUGUGGGUGAUAAGGUCCAUAUUCGAAAGGGAAACAGCCCAGACCACCAGCUAAG
rnacentral:rRNA from 1 species